AAAAUAUAAAUUUAAAUUAAGAAAAACUAACAUUGGAAAAACAAGAAGUUAAUGUAAGAGAAAAAACCUGAUAAAUAAUAUUAUAAAUAAAAUAAAUUUAUAAGACACAAUCUGCGCGAAGCGCGAAAAAAAUCUCUAGUAACAAUAAAAGAGACUUGUCUCUCUGCAACCCUUCGCAUCAUCAUUUUAGAGUGGACAAAUUUAGACACGUGUCACUGCUAAAAAAAAUUUCUGAGCCGGGACCUUUUUUAGAUUUGGGUCUUACUUUUAAAUUGGCCCAUUACUAAUUUAAAUGAAUUAAAAUCCCGACAUAUUGAUCCGCUUAACUCCUUCUUCUUGCUCCGACAUGGCCUCUCUUAACCUUUCAGCCACCGCCCCUUUGUAACGCUUCACAUUAACAUUCAACCCACGUAAUUAAGAUCACUGUUACCAUCCUUUUCCCCAUUUAUUCCACUCUCCUUUGCUCAAUUAUAUCCAUCUCUUCAGAUGUUAUUUUUCUAUAAAUAAGAAUGUCUGUCUCACCUUUUCGCUAUGAAACCCAAAGGUUCAACAAUGGCAACCUUCAAGCUCCUUUUUCUGAUUUGAAAAUCAGCCGUUGUGCUGAGACAGUUAUUCUGCGAUAAUGUGAACAAAGGAAGUGGGUUUAUCGGUGUUGAUUGAGUUUUUGAUGCAGAUUGAGUCAUCUUUGUCAUUAACUACUUUCAGUUAUUGAGCUGUGGGUACAAAGUGUUCAUAUUUAUUAUUGUAGGGUGACCUACUAGAUCUGGAUAUCCGAGGUUCAAAAUUUACACAAGCAAAAAAGUCAGUUAUGAGGUACUGCUGAAGUUCUUUCAUAUUCAGAUCUCAGACCACUUGACAUUAAAGCCCACACAGCCGGGUGCUAUUGCUUGCAUUCAUCAUCUUCGCACCCUGAAUUACAAAUUAUUAUUUAAUUCUUCUGGUUGCCUCUUCCCUUUACCACCUUAACAUAUACUUUGCUGUCGAAACAGGAUUCCUUUCUUAGUCAUCAUUUGGCACCUAUAAAUUUAUGUCUCUGCUUGCAUGUCUUAUAUAUAUAUGCAUUUAUUCACAAAGUUUUAGUCAUUUCCAUGAUGAUCUUAUGUGCUUCUUAAACUGCUUGGAUCUGUAGGGAAAUGUACCAGGCAAUGCAGACAUAAUGGUUUUGUUCUUGCCAUAGUAAAAACAAAUAAGAGAGUAUAGUUCCAAUACAAUUCCUUGUCUCAUAAUGUCUCGCUAACUAGAUCAGAGUAUUAUAUUAAUAUGAUUAUGAGUAUCCAAAAGCCAAUUUUGACCCCUUUUUUUUUUUACUUGAAGUGUCAUAUUAUGUAUCUUUUCAGGAUAUACAAGCUGGAAACUCUGUGCACUGCUUCUUCUAUGGCGUUUUCUUGGAUGUUCCAGAAAAAACGUUAGAUUUGAAAUCUCACCUACUUAAAGUGUUAUACUGCAAUGAAGUUUGAUACGUGCUAUCAUGUGACACUAAAUUGGGUCAAGUUCUGCGUAUGUUUAGAUGCACGAGCCACGUCUACGCUAUCACCACCUAGAAUCUUUAAAUGGUUUUAAAGCAUUGUUAUUACUGUUUGAGGACCUUGGGAUCAUGAUUUUGAGAACGUUUGGUGAUGUUUUAAGCUGCGAAAGAAUGACAUAAAGGCGAUCUGAACAAUAACAGAAAGAUGCUCAUAUCUUGGAAUUUGGCUAUAAAAGACGAGUAAAGGUAGAAGAUUUGGCAGAUUCACAUGCUCAUCUUUAGUCUCUUUUAUUUUAACAUUUUUUUGUGUGGCAUCAUUUGCUUUUUGUUAGCUUGAGGUUUAGUUUCCAAUGUCACUCUGAUCACAAUGGAAUAAUAUAUAACAUUUAUGA